rnacentral:lncRNA from 1 species
UGAAAUUUUUCUUUCUGGGAUUAUGCUUUUGCGGCCAUUUCUUGCAUUUUAUCGUCGGCCGGCUUUAGCUACCGUUCUUCAAACUUCUUCGUCUCCAUUAUCUUCCCCGAGAAUGAAUACUGGAGCUUCAGCCGAUCUGGCGGUAAACACCGUUACUUCGCCGUUGGCGGCCUUGGCGCUUGCACCGGCGCCUACAGUCGCUUCGCCCGAUCAGCCUUCUGGGUCUCAACCUCGGGCUGUCCCUAUUCCUACUGCCGUGGAUCCGGCGCCACUUCCUUCGCCGGUCAACGGUGACACUACAAUGUCCGAUUCACAGCCGGGCACUGUUACUCGGCGCCUGUGCCCCCUCGAUCCUCCACAGCCCGACAGAUGUCGCCUUGUUUCAGUGGACGCUGCGGCAAAGGUGCAAUUGAGUUUGCCCGACUACAUUUCUUUCCUGGUCGACGAUUUGGUUGGCUACCUCGACUUGGCAGGCUCUUUCUGAUUCGGCUGCCACCAAUUGGGUCAUCUUGAGCAUGGGUCCGGCAUCCCUAGUGACAGAUCUUAGGAUUUGGGUACAAGGCAUUAGAUCCAUCGACUUCAAACUUCUUCGUCUCCAUUAUCUUCCCCGAGAAUGAAUACUGGAGCUUCAGCCGAUCCGGCAGUAAACACCGUUACUUCACCGUUGGCAGCCUUGGCACUUGCACCGGCGCCUACGGUCGCUUCACCCAAUCAGCCUUCUGGGUCUCAACCUCGGGCUGUCCCUAUUCCUACUGCCGUGGAUCCGGCGCCGCUUCCUUCGCCGGUCAACGGUGACACUACAAUGUCCGAUUCACAGCCGGGCACUGUUACUCAGCACCUGCACCCCUUCGAUCCUCCGCAGCCCGACAGACGUCGCCUUGUUUCAGUGGACGCUGCAGCAAAGGUGCAAUUGAGUUUGCCCGACUACAUUUCUUUCCUGGUCGACGAUUUGGUUGGCUACCUCGACUUGGCAGGCUAUACUCUUUCUGAUUCGGCUGCCACCAAUUGGGUCGUCUUGAGUGUGGGUCCGGCGUCCGUAGUGACAGAUCUUAGGAUUUGGGUACAAGGCAUUAGACCCAUCGACUUCAAACUUCUUCGUCUCCAUUAUCUUCCCCGAGAAUGGAUACUGGAGCUUCAGCCGAUCAGGCGGUAAACACCGUUACUUCGCUGUUGGCAGCCUUGGCGCUUGCACCGGCGCCUACGGUCGCUUCGCCCGAUCAGCCUUCUGGGUCUCAACCUCGGGCUGUCCCUAUUCCUACUGCCGUGGAUCCGGUGCCGCUUCCUUCGCCGGUCAACGGUGACGCUACAAUGUCCGAUUCACAGCCGGGCACUGUUACUCGGCGCCUGUGCCCCCUCGAUCCUCCGCAGCCCGACAGAUGUCGCCUUGUUUCAGUGGACGCUGCGGCAAAGGUGCAAUUGAGUUUGCCCGACUACAUUUCUUUCCUGGUCGACGAUUUGGUUGGCUACCUCGACUUGGCAGGCUAUACUCUUUCUGAUUCGGCUGCCACCAAUUGGGUCGUCUUGAGCGUGGGUCCAGCGUCCCUAGUGACAGAUCUUAGGAUUUGGGUACAAGGCAUUAGACCCAUCGACUUCAAACUUCUUCGUCUCCAUUAUCUUCCCCGAGAAUGAAUACGGGAGCUUCAGCCGAUCCGGCGGUAAACACCAUUACUUCGCCGUUGGUGGCCUUGGCGCUUGCACCGGCACCUACGGUCGCUUCGCCCGAUCAGCCUUCUGGGUCUCAACCUCGGGCUGUCCCUAUUCCUACUGCCGUGGAUCCGGCACCGCUUCCUUCGCCGGUCAACGGUGACACUACAAUGUCCGAUUCACAGCCGGGCACUGUUACUCGGUGCCUGCACCCCUUCGAUCCUCCGCAGCCCGACAGACGUCGCCUUGUUUCAGUGGACGCUGCGGCAAAGGUGCAAUUGAGUUUGCCCGACUACAUUUCUUUCCUGGUCGACGAUUUGGUUGGCUACCUCGACUUGGCAGGCUAUACUCUUUCUGAUUCGGCUGCCACCAAUUGGGUCGUCUUGAGUGUGGGUCCGGCAUCCCUAGUGACAGAUCUUAGGAUUUGGGUACAAGGCAUUAGACCCAUCGACUUCAAACUUCUUCGUCUCCAUUAUCUUCCCCGAGAAUGAAUACUGGAGCUUCAGCCGAUCCGGCGGUAAACACCGUUACUUCACCGUUGGCGGCCUUGGCGCUUGCACCGGCGCCUACGGUCGCUUCGCCCGAUCAGCCUUCUGGGUCUCAACCUCGGGCUGUCCCUAUUCCUACUGCCGUGGAUCCGGCACCGCUUCCUUCGCCGGUCAACGGUGACACUACAAUGUCCGAUUCACAGCCGGGCACUAUUACUCGGUGCCUGCACCCCUUCGAUCCUCCGCAGCCCGACAGAUGUCGCCUUGUUUCAGUGGACGCUGCGGCAAAGGUGCAAUUGAGUUUGCCCGACUACAUUUCUUUCCUGGUCGACGAUUUGGUUGGCUACCUCGACUUGGCAGGCUAUACUCUUUCUGAUUCGGCUGCCACCAAUUGGGUCGUCUUGAGCAUGGGUCCAGCGUCCCUAGUGACAGAUCUUAGGAUUUGGGUACAAGGCAUUAGAUCCAUCGACUUCAAACUUCUUCGUCUCCAUUAUCUUCCCCGAGAAUGAAUACUGGAGCUUCAGCCGAUCAGGCAGUAAACACCGUUACUUCACCGUUGGCGGCCUUGGCACUUGCACCGGCGCCUACGGUCGCUUCACCCAAUCAGCCUUCUGGGUCUCAACCUCGGGCUGUCCCUAUUCCUACUGCCGUGGAUCCGGCACCGCUUCCUUCACCGGUCAACGGUGACACUACAAUGUCCGAUUCACAGCCGGGCACUGUUACUUGGCACCUGCACCCCUUCGAUCCUCCGCAGCCCGACAGACGUCGCCUUGUUUCAGUGGACGCUGCAGCAAAGGUGCAAUUGAGUUUGCCCGACUACAUUUCUUUCCUGGUCGACGAUUUGGUUGGCUACCUCGACUUGGCAGGCUAUACUCUUUCUGAUUCGGCUGCCACCAAUUGGGUCGUCUUGAGUGUGGGUCCGGUGUCCCUAGUGACAGAUCUUAGGAUUUGGGUACAAGGCAUUAGACCCAUCGACUUCAAACUUCUUCGUCUCCAUUAUCUUCCCCGAGAAUGAAUACUGGAGCUUCAGCCGAUCAGGCGGUAAACACCGUUACUUCGCUGUUGGCAGCCUUGGCACUUGCACCGGCGCCUACGGUCGCUUCACCCAAUCAGCCUUCUGGGUCUCAACCUCGGGCUGUCCCUAUUCCUACUGCCAUGGAUCCGGCACCGCUUCCUUCACCGGUCAACGGUGACACUACAAUGUCCGAUUCACAGCCGGGCACUGUUACUCGGCACCUGCACCCCUUCGAUCCUCCGCAGCCCGACAGACGUCGCCUUGUUUCAGUGGACGCUGCGGCAAAGGUGCAAUUGAGUUUGCCCGACUACAUUUCUUUCCUGGUCGACGAUUUGGUUGGCUACCUCGACUUGGCAGGCUAUACUCUUUCUGAUUCGGCUGCCACCAAUUGGGUCGUCUUGAGUGUGGGUCCGGCGUCCCUAGUGACAGAUCUUAGGAUUUGGGUACAAGGCAUUAGACCCAUCGACUUCAAACUUCUUCGUCUCCAUUAUCUUCCCCGAGAAUGAAUACUGGAGCUUCAGCCGAUCAGGCGGUAAACACCGUUACUUCGCUGUUGGCAGCCUUGGCGCUUGCACCGGCGCCUACGGUCGCUUCGCCCGAUCAGCCUUCUGGGUCUCAACCUCGGGCUGUCCCUAUUCCUACUGCCGUGGAUCCGGCGCCGCUUCCUUCGCCGGUCAACGGUGACACUACAAUGUCCGAUUCACAGCCGGGCACUGUUACUCGGUGCCUGCACCCCUUCGAUCCUCCGCAGCCCGACAGACGUCGCCUUGUUUCAGUGGACGCUGCGGCAAAGGUGCAAUUGAGUUUGCCCGACUACAUUUCUUUCCUGGUCGACGAUUUGGUUGGCUACCUCGACUUGGCAGGCUAUACUCUUUCUGAUUCGGCUGCCACCAAUUGGGUCGUCUUGAGUGUGGGUCCGGCGUCCCUAGUGACAGAUCUUAGGAUUUGGGUACAAGGCAUUAGACCCAUCGACUUCAAACUUCUUCGUCUCCAUUAUCUUCCCCGAGAAUGAAUACUGGAGCUUCAGCCGAUCAGGCGGUAAACACCGUUACUUCGCUGUUGGCAGCCUUGGCGCUUGCACCAGCGCCUACGGUCGCUUCACCCAAUCAGCCUUCUGGGUCUCAACCUCGGGCUGUCCCUAUUCCUACUGCCGUGGAUCCGGCGCCGCUUCCUUCGCCGGUCAACGGUGACACUACAAUGUCCGAUUCACAGCCGGGAAUUGUUACUCGGUGCCUGCACCCCUUCGAUCCUCCGCAGCCCGACAGACGUCGCCUUGUUUCAGUGGACACUGCGGCAAAGGUGCAAUUGAGUUUGCCCGACUACAUUUCUUUCCUGGUCGACGAUUUGGUUGGCUACCUCGACUUGGCAGGCUAUACUCUUUCUGAUUCGGCUGCCACCAAUUGGGUCGUCUUGAGCAUGGGUCCAGCGUCCCUAGUGACAGAUCUUAGGAUUUGGGUACAAGGCAUUAGAUCCAUCGACUUCAAACUUCUUCGUCUCCAUUAUCUUCCCCGAGAAUGAAUACUGGAGCUUCAGCCGAUCAGGCAGUAAACACCGUUACUUCACCGUUGGCGGCCUUGGCACUUGCACCGGCGCCUACGGUCGCUUCACCCAAUCAGCCUUCUGGGUCUCAACCUCGGGCUGUCCCUAUUCCUACUGCCGUGGAUCCGGCACCGCUUCCUUCACCGGUCAACGGUGACACUACAAUGUCCGAUUCACAGCCGGGCACUGUUACUUGGCACCUGCACCCCUUCGAUCCUCCGCAGCCCGACAGACGUCGCCUUGUUUCAGUGGACGCUGCAGCAAAGGUGCAAUUGAGUUUGCCCGACUACAUUUCUUUCCUGGUCGACGAUUUGGUUGGCUACCUCGACUUGGCAGGCUAUACUCUUUCUGAUUCGGCUGCCACCAAUUGGGUCGUCUUGAGUGUGGGUCCGGCGUCCCUAGUGACAGAUCUUAGGAUUUGGGUACAAGGCAUUAGACCCAUCGACUUCAAACUUCUUCGUCUCCAUUAUCUUCCCCGAGAAUGAAUACUGGAGCUUCAGCCGAUCAGGCGGUAAACACCGUUACUUCGCUGUUGGCAGCCUUGGCGCUUGCACCGGCGCCUACGGUCGCUUCGCCCGAUCAGCCUUCUGGGUCUCAACCUCGGGCUGUCCCUAUUCCUACUGCCGUGGAUCCGGUGCCGCUUCCUUCGCCGGUCAACGGUGACGCUACAAUGUCCGAUUCACAGCCGGGCACUGUUACUGGGCGCCUGUGCCCCCUCGAUCCUCUGCAGCCCGACAGACGUCGCCUUGUUUCAGUGGACGCUGCGGCAAAGGUGCAAUUGAGUUUGCCCGACCACAUUUCUUUCCUGGUCGACGAUUUGGUUGGCUACCUCGACUUGGCAGGCUAUACUCUUUCUGAUUCAGCUGCCACCAAUUGGGUCAUCUUGAGCGUGGGUCCGGCGUCCCUAGUGACAGAUCUUAGGAUUUGGGUACAAGGCAUAAGACCCAUCGACUUCAAACUUCUUCGUCUCCAUUAUCUUCCCCGAGAAUGAAUACUGGAGCUUCAGCCGAUCCGGCGGUAAACACCGUUACUUCACCGUUGGCGGCCUUGGCGCUUGCACCGGCGCCUACGGUCGCUUCACCCAAUCAGCCUUCUGGGUCUCAACCUCGGGCUGUCCCUAUUCCUACUGCCGUGGAUCCGGCACCGCUUCCUUCACCGGUCAACGGUGACACUACAAUGUCCGAUUCACAGCCGGGCACUGUUACUCGGCACCUGCACCCCUUCGAUCCUCCGCAGCCCGACAGACGUCGCCUUGUUUCAGUGGACGCUGCAGCAAAGGUGCAAUUGAGUUUGCCCGACUACAUUUCUUUCCUGGUCGACGAUUUGGUUGGCUACCUCGACUUGGCAGGCUAUACUCUUUCUGAUUCGGCUGCCACCAAUUGGGUCGUCUUGAGUGUGGGUCCGGUGUCCCUAGUGACAGAUCUUAGGAUUUGGGUACAAGGCAUUAGAUCCUUCGACUUCAAACUUCUUCGUCUCCAUUAUCCUCCCCGAGAAUGAAUACUGGAGCUUCAGCCGAUCAGGCGGUAAACACCGUUACUUCGCCGUUGGCACCUUGGUGCUUGCACCAGCGCCUACGGUCGCUUCGCCCGAUCAGCCUUCUGGGUCUCAACCUCGGGCUGUCCCUAUUCCUACUGCCGUGGAUCCGGCACCGCUUCCUUCGCCGGUCAACGGUGACACUACAAUGUCCGAUUCACAGCCGGGCACUGUUACUCGGUGCCUGCACCCCUUCGAUCCUCCGCAGCCCGACAGACGUCGCCUUGUUUCAGUGGACGCUGCGGCAAAGGUGCAAUUGAGUUUGCCCGACUACAUUUCUUUCCUGGUCGACGAUUUGGUUGGCUACCUCGACUUGGCAGGCUAUACUCUUUCUGAUUCGGCUGCCACCAAUUGGGUCGUCUUGAGUGUGGGUCCGGUGUCCCUAGUGACAGAUCUUAGGAUUUGGGUACAAGGCAUUAGAUCCAUCGACUUCAAACUUCUUCGUCUCCAUUAUCUUCCCCGAGAAUGAAUACUGGAGCUUCAGCCGAUCCGGCAGUAAACACCGUUUCUUCACCGUUGGCGGCCUUGGCGCUUGCACCGGCGCCUACGGUCGCUUCACCCAAUCAGCCUUCUGGGUCUCAACCUCGGGCUGUCCCUAUUCCUACUGCCGUAGAUCCGGCACCGCUUCCUUCGCCGGUCAACGGUGACACUACAAUGUCCGAUUCACAGCCGGGCACUGUUACUCGGUGCCUGCACCCCUUCGAUCCUCCGCAGCCCGACAGACGUCGCCUUGUUUCAGUGGAUGCUGCGGCAAAGGUGCAAUUGAGUUUGCCCGACUACAUUUCUUUCCUGGUCGACGAUUUGGUUGGCUACCUCGACUUGGCAGGCUAUACUCUUUCUGAUUCGGCUGCCACCAAUUGGGUCGUCUUGAGUGUGGGUCCGGCAUCCCUAGUGACAGAUCUUAGGAUUUGGGUACAAGGCAUUAGAUCCAUCGACUUCAAACUUCUUCGUCUCCAUUAUCUUCCCCGAGAAUGAAUACUGGAGCUUCAGCCGAUCAGGCGGUAAACACCGUUACUUCGCAGUUGGCGGCCUUGGCACUUGCACCGGCACCUACGGUCGCUUCGCCCGAUCAGCCUUCUGGGUCUCAACCUCAGGCUGUCCCUAUUCCUACUGCCGUGGAUCCGGCACCGCUUCUUUUUAUUCCGCUUUUUUUUCCUUUGCCGGUCAACGGUGACACUACAAUGUCCGAUUCACAGCCGGGCACUGUUACUCGGCGCCUGCACCCCCUCGAUCCUCCGCAGCCCGACAGACGUCGCCUUGUUUCAGUGGACGCUGCGGCAAAGGUGCAAUUGAGUUUGCCCGACUACAUUUCUUUCCUGGUCGACGAUUUGGUUGGCUACCUCGACUUGGCAGGCUAUACUCUUUCUGAUUCGGCUGCCACCAAUUGGGUCGUCUUGAGUGUGGGUCCGGCGUCCCUAGUGACAGAUCUUAGGAUUUGGGUACAAGGCAUUAGAUCCAUCGACUUCAAACUUCUUCGUCUCCAUUAUCCUCCCCGAGAAUGAAUACUGGAGCUUCAGCCGAUCAGGCGGUAAACACCGUUACUUCGCCGUUGGCACCUUGGUGCUUGCACCAGCGCCUACGGUCGCUUCGCCCGAUCAGCCUUCUGGGUCUCAACCUCGGGCUGUCCCUAUUCCUACUGCCGUGGAUCCGGCACCGCUUCCUUCGCCGGUCAACGGUGACACUACAAUGUCCGAUUCACAGCCGGGCACUGUUACUCGGUGCCUGCACCCCUUCGAUCCUCCGCAGCCCGACAGACGUCGCCUUGUUUCAGUGGACGCUGCGGCAAAGGUGCAAUUGAGUUUGCCCGACUACAUUUCUUUCCUGGUCGACGAUUUGGUUGGCUACCUCGACUUGGCAGGCUAUACUCUUUCUGAUUCGGCUGCCACCAAUUGGGUCGUCUUGAGUGUGGGUCCGGCAUCCCUAGUGACAGAUCUUAGGAUUUGGGUACAAGGCAUUAGAUCCAUCGACUUCAAACUUCUUCGUCUCCAUUAUCUUCCCCGAGAAUGAAUACUGGAGCUUCAGCCGAUCAGGCAGUAAACACCGUUACUUCACCAUUGGCGGCCUUGGUGCUUGCACCGGCGCCUACGGUCGCUUCGCCCGAUCAGCCUUCUGGGUCUCAACCUCGGGCUGUCCCUAUUCCUACUGCCGUGGAUCCGGCACCGCUUCCUUCGCCGGUCAACGGUGACACUACAAUGUCCGAUUCACAGCCGGGCACUGUUACUCGGCACCUGCACCCCUUCGAUCGUCCGCAGCCCGACAGACGUCGCCUUGUUUCAGUGGACGCUGCGGCAAAGGUGCAAUUGAGUUUGCCCGACUACAUUUCUUUCCUGGUCGACGAUUUGGUUGGCUACCUCGACUUGGCAGGCUAUACUCUUUCUGAUUCGGCUGCCACCAAUUGGGUCGUCUUGAGUGUGGGUCCGGCGUCCCUAGUGACAGAUCUUAGGAUUUGGGUACAAGGCAUUAGAUCCAUCGACUUCAAACUUCUUCGUC